GUUGUAGUUAAACAAGAUGGACUAUUGGUCAGCAUUGCUACUUUUAACUGUCUGCUGGACAGGUGCUGAUGGUCAGACUCUGACACAAUCUGA